ACGGAAGGCAGCAGUGGGGAAUAUUGCACAAUGGGCGAAAGCCUGAUGCAGCGACGCCGCGUGAGUGAAGAAGUAUCUCGGUAUGUAAAGCUCUAUCAGCAGGGAAGAAAAUGACGGUACCUGACUAAGAAGCCCCGGCUAACUACGUGCCAGCAGCCGCGGUAAUACGUAGGGGGCAAGCGUUAUCCGGAUUUACUGGGUGUAAAGGGAACGUAGACGGUUUGGCAAGUCUGAAGUGAAAUGCGGGGGCUCAACUCCUGAACUGCUUUGGAAACUGUCGAACUAGAGUGCAGGAGAGGUAAGUGGAAUUCCUAGUGUAGCGGUGAAAUGCGUAGAUAUUAGGAGGAACACCAGUGGCGAAGGCGGCUUACUGGACUGUAACUGACGUUGAGGCUCGAAAGCGUGGGGAGCAAACAGGAUUAGAUACCCUGGUA
rnacentral:rRNA from 1 species